rnacentral:lncRNA from 1 species
UCAGUCAACUGAUUGCUUAAGAUACUUUUGUUCUUAACCAUAUGCCUUUGUCCUCUUGUCUUGUCAAAGAUCACAGCAGUUUUCUCCCAGCCAGACCAAUGGUGAAAGUUCCCCAGAGAUGUUGGCCAUACGAUUUCAGGAUGUGGUGAGAAUUAAAGACAAUGGUCAGAAUUCAGUGAGAUCUUCCUACUCAAGCCCGGCAUCCAUUAGUCCACGGCCCACCAGCCCCUACAGUCCUUCAUCUCCUGGGUACCGACCUGGCAGCCCGUACAGCCCAGUGAGACCCAGUCUGCCCACCGAGAUCAGAGGGGAGCCUGUGAUAAACAGCCGCAGCUUCCAGUCAAUGGAGACUUCCCUUCAGAGUCAGCAGGAGUCAAGCAACAGACAGGUAAAAAAAAAAGAAGUGUGAGCUCAAACUCUUUUUGGGAUUCCCUGGAAUCUUGGGACAAUAUAUGAG